UUGAAUGCCUUGCCUCGACAAUCAGGAUGGCUAGAAAUUUUACCAGGGGAUUUGGUACCGUAAUGGUGGUCACAGGCCCCAUUUUUAACAGCUGAAAUAAGGACCAGUUGGGUUUCACUAGUGCUCUAGGAAAGUCUUCCCCAUCAAAUUCAAGCCCUGUGUAUUGUUAAAUAGCUUCCUUUGAAAUCUCUGACCUCUUUUAAACAGCAGCUAGCAGAUAAUAACAAUACUUAGAAUGUACACAUCUCUUUUCAUGUCAGCGCACCUCCCUAAUUAAUUCACUAAUUAAUUAAUGGUCAGAAAUCCCAGGAGGCAGGGAAGUGUCAUAUAUACUUUAUAGAUAGGGAAACUGGGGUACAAAGAGGGGACGUGACAUGACUUAGGUCACAGAGGAGAUUGAUGGCAAAGAGAACGGAACCCAUAAACCCAUAUAGUGAUGGAGUCCCUGUCAUGCAAGGGAACUUUUUUGCCUUUUUUGCCUCUUUAAAGGUGAACUGCAAAGGACAAGUGAAGAUUGAUAUAAGCACCAAUGUCUGUGCUGAAUGCCCACAUGAAAGAAGCAGCUGGGAGCUUUCAGCAAAAGAAAUGAGGAUUUCAAGAUGCUUCUGCUUCUGGUCAGACUGGGAGCACCAAGUGAUGAACCUCUUUUUGAGUUACUGUGACACAUAUGCUUCUGGUUGGAAUGUAUACAAUAAUUAGAAAUGGGCCUGACGACAAACUGAACACUGGGAACAUUUGGAUCUGGAUCCAAACAAAACAGCUCAGGCUCAUCUCUACAAAAGGUGGGAAGAAAAGAAGUUGAGCAAAGUCACUUGAACUUCAGGUUUGGAUUCAAUCUGAGAUUCUGGCAACGGGUUUUUUUUUGGGGGGGGGAGGGAGGGGCAACUGGGAUGCAGAGCAAAAGGGGACAUCCUUAUUUUCCUGUCAUUCUGCUCUGCCCACCCUCAGCUUUAGCAUUUGUUGAGAUGAUGGAGAAUGACCCGGCUAGAGAGGUACUUUGACAUAAAGCAUAUACUGACCUGGAAAAGGGUUGGGGAGUGUGGGUAAAACUCGCUCUAAGGGGGGAAAAACAACAAUAAGCAACAUGCAGGAGAAAAGGAAAUGCCACUUUCCACACCCAGCAAGCAGCCGUUACAAACCUGACCGCUCCCCCUGCAACUGGAUUGACUAAGACGGUUUCACAUACAGAGCAUUAUGCUACCAACACAUCACAGUACAUGUUUCCAUGGUCUGGGAUUGGGAGUCGAGAAGACACCAUCUCAAUGGCACACAGAACUGAAUAAUCAAUGUCCAUACAGCAGGAGGAAUAAAAGACCUGCAGUGA